UUGGCUCAGAAGCAGCCACCAUUUAAAGAGUGCGUAAUAGCUCACUGGUCGAGAGACGCUGCGCCGAAAAUGUCCGGGGCUCAAGCACGGAACCGAAGCUAUGGCAUGAUAGCAAUAUCAUGGGUAGGGGAGCGUUCUUAUAAGGAAGAAGCAUGACCGGAAGGACAUGUGGACGAAUAAGAAGUGAGAAUGCCGGUAUGAGUAUCGAAAAGAAAGGUGAGAAUCCUUUCCACCGAAAGCCCGAGGGUUCCUGAGCAACGAUCGUCGACUCAGGGUAAGUCGGGACCUAAGCCGAGGCGAGAAGCGUAGGCGAUGGACAACAGGUUGAAAUUCCUGUACCGGAUCAAGUCGAUCGAGCGAAGGAGCGACGCAGGAGGGCACAUGAUCGCGCGGCUGGAAGAGCGCGUCCAAGUGCGUAUGUUGCAGCAGAGGAAAACCCCUGCGGCUGAAAGCAGAGACAUGAUGGGGAGUUAAAGGAAACUUUGACGAACUCAUGAAUCCCACACUGCCAAGAAAAACUUCUAGCGAGACAAGAUCCGCCCGUACCGUAAACCGACACAGGUAGGCGGGGAGAGAAUCCUAAGGUGCGCGGGAAAACCCUCGUUAAGGAACUCGGCAAAUUGCAUCCGUAACUUCGGGAGAAGGAUGGCCCCCGGUCAGUGAAGAGCAGAAACGCUCAGAGCUAAAAGGGGCGGCAGAAAAGAGGCCCAAGCAACUGUUUACCAAAAACACAGGUGCCUGCGAAAGCGAAAGCUGAAGUAUAGGUGCUGACGCCUGCCCGGUGCCGGAAGGUUAAGGAGAGAGGUUAGCGAAAGCGAAGCUUUGAACUGAAGCCCCGGUGAACGGCGGCCGUAACUAUAACGGUCCUAAGGUAGCGAAAUUCCUUGUCGGGUAAGUUCCGACCCGCACGAAAGGCGUAACGAUUUGGGCACUGUCUCAACGAGGGACCCGGUGAAAUUGAAAUACCUGUGAAGAUGCAGGUUACCCGCGACUGGACAGAAAGACCCCAUGGAGCUUCACUGCAGCUUGAGAUUGAAUCCCGGUGACAGAUGCACAGGAUAGGUGGGAGGCGUCGAAGCAUUGCCCUAGGGCGGUGCGGAGCCGAUGUUGGGAUACCACCCUUCUGUUGCUGAGAUUCUAACGCGAGGAGUAACGACCCUGCGGACCCUCUCAGGCAGGCGGUUUGACUGGGGCGGUCGCCUCCGAAAGAGUAACGGAGGCGCCCAAAGGUUCCCUCAGGCCGGACAGAAACCGGCCGAAGAGUGCAAAGGCAGAAGGGAGCUUGACUGCGAGACCAACAAGUCGAGCAGGGACGAAAGUCGGGCUUAGUGAUCCGGUGGUACUGGGUGGAAAGGCCAUCGCUCAACGGAUAAAAGCUACCCUGGGGAUAACAGGCUAAUCUCUCCCAAGAGUCCAUAUCGACGGGGAGGUUUGGCACCUCGAUGUCGGCUCAUCACAUCCUGGGGCUGUAGUAGGUCCCAAGGGUUGGGCUGUUCGCCCAUUAAAGUGGUACGCGAGCUGGGUUCAAAACGUCGUGAGACAGUUUGGUUCAUAUCCAUCGCGGGCGCAAGAAGUUUGAGAGGAGCUGCUCCUAGUACGAGAGGACCGGAGUGGACGGAUCAACGGUGUCCCAGUUGUCACGCCAGUGGCACGGCUGGAAAGCCGCAUCCGGGAAGGAUAAACGCUGAAAGCAUCUAAGCGUGAAGCCAACCUCAAGAUGAGACUUCUCAUCAGCAAUGAGUAAGACCCCUUACAGACGAUGAGGUAGAUAGGUUAUGAGUGGAAGAGCCGCAAGGCUUGGAGCGACAUAAAACUAAUAGGUCGAGGUCUUAACUUA
rnacentral:rRNA from 1 species